rnacentral:rRNA from 1 species
AGAGCGAACGCUGGCGGCAUGCUUAGCACAUGCAAGUCGCACGGCUGGGGAAACCCAGCAGUGGCGGACGGGUGAGUAACGCGUAGGUAUCUAUCUCCGGGUGGGGGACAACUGUGGGAAACUACAGCUAAUACCGCAUGAUGCCCGAGGGCCAAAGGCGCAAGUCGCCUGGAGAGGAGCCUGCGUACGAUUAGCUUGUUGGCGGGGUAAUGGCCCACCAAGGCGACGAUCGUUAGCUGGUCUGAGAGGAUGAUCAGCCACACUGGGACUGAGACACGGCCCAGACUCCUACGGGAGCAGCAGUGGGGAAUAUUGGACAAUGGGCGCAAGCCUGAUCCAGCAAUGCCGCGUGAGUGAAGAAGGUCUUCGGAUUGUAAAGCUCUUUCGACGGGGACGAUGAUGACGGUACCCGUAGAAGAACGCCCGGCUAACUUCGUGCCAGCAGCCGC